AGGCAAAUGUUUGAGUCGCACUUAGUGAGUGGAGGCCAUUUCUAGCUGGCUAGUUAUUUUGUGGCUGGAGAGGGAGCCAGAGAUGAAGCCAGGGGGCAACUGCUGGGAUUUGGAGUGAACACUUGAACGGGCAAUGCUCGUAAUAUGGCCAAAACAUUGGAUGAUGCUGACUUGAAAAGUUUAGCCUGCCUGGCACACACACACUGCAACCCAUUGGAAACAAGGGAGAUCCAUUACAGAAUCGCAGACAUUGUUGCAACAGGAAGGAGAAUUGUUGAUACUUUAAGCAUUCAUUUCCCUUCUCCCAACUUUACAUCAUACAAACACGGUUAGGUCAGCAGAGAAAAAGAAUACCACAAGACGCUUCAACGAGGCGGAACAGCACGGUCUACAUGCUGCUGUCGCUGCUGGAUCAGAGACGUCCUAUUGGAGUGUAUGCUGCCAAGCACGAGUUACCAGCCACAGUCACUGCACACCACUGGGAUCUAAUGGACAAUGUGCUGACCAUCCUCGCACCUUUUGAGCAACUCAUAAAGGAGAUCAGCUCGUCAACAGCUACAACAGCAGAUGUCAUCCCAGCCAUCAUUGCACUCAAGUGGCGUAUGGAGAGGCAAGCAAGCACAGACCAUGGUGUUGGUACAGCCAAAGUCACACUGUUGGAGGCUCGUGUGAGAAGAUUAAGCAACGUUGAGCAUGAGUCCCUGCAGCUUGAGCACUAUUCUUGU